GACAUCAAGCAAGUCCCAGUUACAGAAAGAACCCACUGCAGGGCGUCCAGUCACUUGCCCAGUGAAAAGACUGUAAUCAGACAACUUUAAUAAAGGGAGAGCAGGAGAGUGGUGACGAAUUUCCACAUUCCGAACAAGCUUGUCGAAAGAGGAGUGCAGGGAAGGAGCAAGAAUGAGGCACUGGAAGACGGUGAGCGGGGCCUUGCCACAGAAUCCCGGGCCCACCUGCUUUCUCACAGUCGCGACAGCCGGCCCGGAGAAGGGCAGCCCAGCGAAGGGCACGCCCCGCGCGGGUGCCAGGGAGGCCGGCAGGGGCGUCCGCGGUCGCUGCUCACCUGCGCUCCCCGCUGCCCGGCCCAGCCCGCCUCGCCACCGAGUCUGGAAGCCCACACUCACCCCUUUACCCGGGAAACGCGGCCGGAGCCGGCGGCGGGUCGGGAGUCCGAGAUGGUAGAUCCCCCUCCAGGCGCCUCGCUGACAUUUUGUCCCGGACGGAAAACCUCCGCGCGUGCCCCUUAAAGACACAGCGCUGCAUUCACACGUCUGCGGGGAAAGGGGGGCCGUCACGUGUGGCCUUCGCCCGAAAGCGGUAGGGGAGUCGCUCUGAAACCGCCAAGGAUCGCGAGCGACAGAUUUGUGUUGGCCAGGGUUUUAAGAUGACGCAAUAGCUGAGUGUGGUUGAAAUGUAACUAUUGUUUUACAACUUUGCAUUAACCUUCCAAGACCUGAAUUCCCGGGCCUGAGUCUCAGAGCGCGGUUUGCAUCUUUGCAGGCUGUAGGCGCAUGAUGUCACAAGUUAUUGGAAGAAAUCCCUCCAACCUAGGUUGGGACAGAUGAAGGCGGCGCUUAUUGGUGUUCACCAAAACACCAGCAUGGUGUACCAGCUUUGGCUAGAUGAUGCUCAGGAAAACACAGAUCCUGGUGCCGAACAUGAGGACAGGGCAGGCCGAAGGAGAAAGUGGAAGGAGGGGAGCUUCUCUCUCAGCCUCAUCCUUCUGGGCCUGGAUGCUGGAGAGUCAUGAGGUGCUUCAGAGUACUCUGGGUGAGGAGGGAAAGAUGGUGCCCACCACAUGGAGGCCAGCCUAGGUCUUGUAUGAAACCUGUGAGGUAUGAAGGAGUAAUUUUUCUUUCUAAGCCAUUUCUCUGCUUAUUUCUCAGAUCAGUGCCCUUUAUGUUUGAACUUGGUGUGAAUGACCAUCUUAGUGAUUCUUACUGCAAUGACAAUAGGGAGUUAAAUGACAUAAGUUUCUUUUUCAUGGGAAAGGAUAUAAAAAUGUAUCUGCAUGUGGUCAGUGUAGAAUAUUCCCAGCCAGAGGUGCAGUUUUCUGGAUCCCUCCCACAGACAUUGUGUGGAAGCACACCUAUUAACCGAUAAGGGGCGAAAUUUCACCAGAAUAGAGAAGCAUCCUCUUUGCCCUUUUCACAGGGGUGGGGAUGAGGUUAGGGGUGGGGUUAUACCUUCUUUGCUCACCCAGCUGCUUCUAUAUAUCUUAGCCUGGAUAUGCCUAAACUUAAGCCAAAACAAAAACUCAUAGACAGGUAGUUUAUUUGCAAAAUGAUACUAGGGAUCAGGAGUAAGGAAUGAGAGUAAAGCAGGGGAGGAAGAAAAGCCACUGCAAGCAUGCACUGUCAACAGAGGAAGGACCAACAAGCACAUGAAAGGUCUCAGUGUUACUAGUCACCAGAAUUCAAAUGAAAACCACCACGAGAUACCUACUAGAUGCCUAUUAGAAUGGCUACAUUAAAAAGACUGCAGCAACAAAUGUUGGUGAGGGUGUGGAACAGUCAGAGCUCUCAUCAAUUGUUGGUAGGGGUGUAAAUUGGUACAACUUUGGAAAGGUCUGGCACUUUCUUAAAAAACUAAACACACACUUUCUAUGACCCAGCAAUUUCAUUCCUAGAUAUUUGCCCAGCAGAAAUGAAAAUAUCUGUAUAUAAACAGACUUGUUUAAGAAUGUUCAUGGCCUGGCGUGGUGGCUCACGCCUGUAAUCCCAGCACUUUGGGAGGCUGAGGCGGGCGGAUCACGAGGUCAGGAGAUCGAGACCAUCCUGGCUAACAUGGUGAAACCCCGUCUCUACUAAAAAUACAAAAAAUUAGCUGGGCGUGGUGCAGGCGCCUGUAGUCUCAGCUACUUGGGAGGCUGAGGCAGGAGAAUGGCAUGAACCCAGGAGGUGGAGCUUGCAGUGAGCAGAGAUCGCGCCACUGCACUCCAGCCUGGGUGACAGAGCAAGACUCUGUCUCAAAAAAAAAAAAAAAAAAAAAGAGUGUUCACAGCAAGCAGCAUUAUGUGUUAUAGUCAGAAACUGGAAACAGGCCAGGCACGGUGGCUCAUGCCUGUAAUCCUAGCACUUUGAGAACCUCAGAUAGGAAGAUCGCUUGAGGCCAGGAGUUCGAGACCAGCCUGGGGAACAUAGCAAGACCCUGUUUUCACAAAAAAUAAAGACAUUAGCCAGGCAUGGUGGCACACAUCUGUAGUCCUAGCUACUUAGGAGGCUGAGGUGGGAGGAUCACUUGAGCCCAGGAGUUCAAGGCUGCAGUGACCUAUAAUCACCCACCCUGGGUGAUACAGUAAGACCUUGUUUCUAAACAAAACAAAACAAAACAAAAACUGGAAACAGCCCAUUAACAGAAGAAUGGAUAAAAAAACUGUGGUAUGUUCAUGCAAUGGAAUAUUGCCCAGCCAUAAAAAGGAAUAGAGUAUUGAUAUAAUAAUAUGGGUAAAUAUUAAAGCAUGCUGGGUGAAAAAAGCCUUACGCAAAAUAAUAUGGUAUUUUCCUAUUUAAAGUUCUAGAAUAGGCAGAACUAAUCUGCAAUGAAGAAAAAUCAAAAUAGUGAUCUGUGCAGAUGUGGGCGUACAAGUAGGAGUUGACAGAGAGCAGGCAUGAGGGAAUGUUCCUCUACAUCUUCAAAGGAGUUUGGGUUACACAUGUCAAUGUACUUUUCAAAACUUACUGAAUGGUACACUUACAAGUGUUCAUUUUAUUGAAUAUAAAUUUUGCCUUAAAAGAAAGACAUCAUAAAUGAAUACUGAAGUUUAGUUAAUGAUAUGCAUGCUGAAGUGUUAAGGGUGAAUUAUACUGUUAUCUGAAAAGUACUUUGAAAUGCAUUAAAAAUAAAAUAGAUUAGUAGAUGGAUAGAAUAAUAGAUAAAUGGAUAUACGUAUGAUAAAAGAAAUAGAAUAAGAUAUUAGUUGUACAAUCUAGAUAGGGAUAUAUGGGUUUUGACUGUAGCAUUCUUUCAACUUCUCUGUAUGCUUGAACAUUUUUAUAAUAAAAAGUGAGGUAAAAACAAAAA
rnacentral:lncRNA from 1 species